rnacentral:rRNA from 1 species
UACGUAGGGGGCGAGCGUUGUCCGGAUUUAUUGGGCGUAAAGAGCUCGUAGGCGGUUUGGUAAGUUGGAUGUGAAAUCUCCAGGCUCAACUUGGAGGGGUCAUUCGAUACUGCCAUGACUAGAGUUCGGUAGGGGAGUGUGGAAUUCCUGGUGGAGCGGUGAAAUGCGUAGAUAUCUGGAGGAAUACCGGUGGCGAAGGCGGCAUCCUGGACCGACAUUGACGCUGAGGAGCGAAAGCUAGGGGAGCAAACGGG